GAUGAACGCUGGCGGCGUGCCUAAUACAUGCAAGUCGAACGAAACUUCUUUAUCACCGAGUGCUUGCACUCACCGAUAAAGAGUUGAGUGGCGAACGGGUGAGUAACACGUGGGCAACCUGCCCAAAAGAGGGGGAUAACACUUGGAAACAGGUGCUAAUACCGCAUAACCAUAGUUACCGCAUGGUAACUAUGUAAAAGGUGGCUAUACUACCGCUUUUGGAUGGGCCCGCGGCGCAUUAGCUAGUUGGUAGGGUAAAGGCUUACCAAGGCAACGAUGCGUAGCCGAAUUGAGAGGUUGAUCGGCCACAUUGGGACUGAGACACGGCCCAAACUCCUACGGGAGGCAGCAGUAGGGAAUCUUCCACAAUGGGCGAAAGCCUGAUGGAGCAACGCCGCGUGGGUGAAGAAGGUCUUCGGAUCGUAAAACCCUGUUGUUAGAGAAGAAAGUGCGUGAGAGUAACUGUUCACGUUUCGACGGUAUCUAACCAGAAAGCCACGGCUAACUACGUG
rnacentral:rRNA from 1 species